GUUUGAUUUUGGAACUUGGCGCUGGUUUUACUGGAGAUAGAAGAGCACCCACAAGCAGAGAAUGAAACAUCCCAUCCCCAGGCAGAGCUGUAACGGGAGAAAGGAGUGAAAGGAAGCCUGACCUGCUGGAAAACUGGGACAAGUCCUGCAGACAACAAUCAGCCUUCCAAACAAAGGCAUUAGAAGUCAUGCUAUGCCUUUUUAUGAAAGAAUCGUCAUAACAGCACACAUUUUAAAAGAACAGCAAGCAGUGCAGGAGUGCUCGUUACUAACCUGUAUGCAGUUUAUCCUGAAGGACUGGAUCCAUUAAGGCUUGCAGAACACUGAAACUUGCUCUUGCUGCACUGUAUGCUGACACAUAACUCAGAGAGGCAUACGCUGCUAUCUGAUAUUGCACGUGCGUUCUUCUUCAAAAUCUGGAACGGGAUGGCUUCAGUUCUCAAAGAGAAACAAAGUUCACCACAGCUAUGGAAGCACUGGCAAGUGAAGCAGGCACAGACCAGCUACGAGGUCAUCACAGCUGGAUGCAGACACCACGUGAUGAAUAACAAGGAUGUCUACCAGAACUCAGAAUUCAGAUGGGUGACCUGAGAACAGGUACCUGUGUGCCGUCACAGUUUUGUGCAGCUUUGAAAAGGAAAGAGCACAUCAAUCACAUUUUUCCUCUCUUUUGACCCGUAUUUCCCACUUAUCUCAAGCAUCUUUACAUUUUCAAUUUAGCAUAAGUCUAUGUAAUCUGGUCCUCAGAACUUUCCACCUACUGCCUUUGAGAAGGAAUAAUCCACAGCCACUUCCCUUUAAUACCAAGCAGUUGCAGUGUAACACUUUUCAGGCUUUGAUUCCUACAGAGGAAAGUAGGAAAGGAUGUUUUUAAGUUAUAAAUACACCAGACAUCAUCACUAAUUCUUCUGCCCUUCCCAUAGAUCGUGGGAAUUUUAUUCAAGUUGGAUAUUUUCUAGUGAUAAGAAGGGAAAUAGGAUUCAUCCUUCAAUUACUACCACCUUCCCUGGCUUUUCCUCAUUUCUGCACAAAACACACAAAUCCAAAACAAGUGACAACACACUUGCUCUAUUAAGAAUAAAACCUCAGCAUCUCCUCUGUGCUCACUCUGAUCCCAUACAUCCCCUGUUUCAUUCAUCACUGAUAAUUACAUUUUACGCUGCUAAUUUGUCUAAAAUUAUUUCACUUUUUUUCCUUCUAAAUAAAGGCUGGCACGUAGGUAGCAGUGAUAACUGACGCAACCACGAAAGAUUGCUUUUCAUAAAUAGUGAAUACAUUUGUCAGCUGUAAAUGAAACUGCAAAGAUAACUCUGCAGCUUUAUUUGCCUUUCUCACUUAAUAUGCAGUAGUUUGUAUAUCCUACUCUAUCUCCAUGUUCUUCAAAGCUCCACCUUUGUAUUUUUUAAUGCCUUAGUUUUCCACACUUUUUCACUGUUAACUGUCCUUAACCACUGUUCUCUUCAUGCCUUUCUCUCACUGUUAGAUUUAUAGUUAUUUCCCAUGGUAGCCAGGAGGCUCUCAUUUUUUACCUUGUGUUUCCCCAGACACCAUCUUCACUUACUUCCAGCUCACUUUCUCCAUGAAUCAUUCAAAAGUUGAUCUACUCGCUAGUGCCAUGUUUUUUCACACUGGGGUCAGAUUUGUUGUCUUUCCUAGGACUUGCUUUGGAAGACUGCAAAGCUCCCACCUGGGGUAAUUGGGAGGUAAAGGAGCUCAAACAGGCAGAAGCAUAGUCUGAAGACCACAUUUAGCCUAUGUAACCCACGGCAGUCUUAAGUUUCCUACAUGUUUAUCAUUUCUUCUGUAAAUUGCUACAUUCUUUGAUGAAACUUCAUAAAUAAUGUAUCUUAACUGUAGUUGUCAGCAUGUAUAAUCUUUUAAAAGAGUCAGAUUUGCAGUAUUUAAAAAUAAUUUCCUCACAGCAGAAAAUACAAGGCUUCUAGCUAUUCAGAUUUUUACAAUUAUUUGUCUUUUGCAAGAAGGUAAUAAUACAAAAGUAACAAUGCAUGCAAAACAAAAGGAAUACAUCCAAAGCACCCUUUGCCCAAACAGAAUAGAGUCUCCCUGGAGAGCAUAUUAACCAAAAUAUAUUACAACCUACCAUUAUUUGGUUCAGAAUAUAUGCAUCUAAUUAGGCUUAAGGCAAAGGAGAAGUAUAUAAUUUUAUGCAAAAAAAGCAAAACAACAAACUGCUUGCUGUUGUAUGUGCCAGUACUGCUGCAGCUGCUACAGAGCAGCAAGGCAGUAUCCGAGGGGGACUGCUUGCUUCUCAGCUGCAAGAUGCCUGCUGCAGUAACUGCUGUAUCAAGUUCCCACUGCUUAAGGCAGAGGGAAUGAAACCCUGGGGCUAACCAAACUUUUUUCUGCUACUACAUGAAGUGUGCAUCUCAGUGAUCUUGUUUACUUCUUUGGUUCAACAGGACAAAGAAAAUGCACUGAUACUUGGCUGAUUGCACUAAAUAGAAACAAUAAAGGUAAGGCCAAAUUAUAAACUUGUACAGGGUGAAAAAAGUGGAAGAUUUUGCCCAUGUACCCUCCCUCAUGCCUCAGGAUAGCUCUCCUGGAACAAAAGAUGCACACUGUGUCCUCAAAGGUACGUCACUAAAAGAGCAAGGAGGAGAGCAGAGAAUUUAGGGAGGAACCUCAUUUUACUGGGCAGUUAUCAAACCUGUAAGUAGUGCAGAAAUGUUAUUCCUGCUCUUCACUAAGUUAAGUACAAUUAUAGGACAGGAAAUGUGGAGAACAGCAGAUGAGAGUAAUAGUAGCACAUAUUACAGCACAAGCAUUGAGUUGAAUCUAAAGAGAGUUAUUUCCCUAAUGAAUAAAUAGUGCAGACCAAAACUUUUUGGUUUUAUUAUUUUCUGAUGACAAAAUUACUUAAAGAAAUGAAGAGAUUCACAGACUAGUAAGAAUGGAUCAAAAUUUACUGUUCACUACUAUUAAAUUACCUCCUUGCGACUGAUAUUUAAUAUUACAAUUCUCCAAAAUGAUGAAGGUUUGAAGAAAUAGUAAUUAUCUAUUAAAAAAAAAAAAGUACAUCUGUUAGAAAAGGUUUCCUAAAGGACACUAUUAAAUGGUUUUCUCAAACUUUGGAUAAAUGAAAUUUUGAAUUCUGAUCUCUUUCCAACAUCCAGCAAUUUAUGCUCUUGUUCACACUCAAACCCUCCUCUAAUGGCCUCAGUAGUCGUGCAAAACUCAUCAGUUAGGAUCUCCAAUGCCUUUGGCUUUUCUCUUUGAGCCAUCUAGGCCAUGCAAAGGAGACGGAAAGCCGAAGAUCCAACCUGCUGGUCAUCUGAUGGCUGGUCUCAAACUCCUGAGCGCUCCUGGAAUAUGGGAAUAUCCCAGAUGGACUGGAGACAUCAGUGAUGCAGGACUGGCAGAGAAACUCCUGUGUGAGUUAUGCUGUUCGGGACAGCUAAGGCAAAAAGUUGUGGAGGAAGAUUCAUCCCUGUUUGUCAAGAGUGGGUCAGGCAUAAAAUGGCUCUUUGUUUUUUGAAGCUGCCAAUAAUCUAUGUAUAUUUUAGUGCUUACUUGCAAGUUAACUACAAAAACAGCUAGAGGUCCAGGAAAACAACUUCCAGAAGAGAGUAUGCACUUCUGGCAUUUGUUUGUGUGGUACUUUAUUCUUCAGAGCAUUUCAAGUGCUCUUCCCACAAACAAAUGGACUCUAUUUUAUGAAUAAUACUCUAAGGGGACAUUCAAUUCUUGUCUUUCACAUAUCAAAUUCAAUUCUUUUUUCUUCUUUUGUUUGUUGUCAUUUAAUAAAACAAAGAUGGAGUCAGUAGUUUUCAAGUGGAGACAUCUGGGAAAUACUGGCAAUUGAAAUUUAUGCUAAUUUAGAGUAAGGUUGGCAGGGUGGCUUGUCUCCAGUCAGCAGUGUUCCUAGAAACCAAGCUUUAGGAAAAAUAGUGUUCUUAUUUUGAGACAGAACAUGGUGAAAGACGACCUUGUGCCUUCCAUUUCCUAUUGAUCAUAUGAUACCGACCCAUCUAUGUCAGCAAACAUCUCUUACUGAGACAAACGCACUGCAUUGAACAGUAGUUAGGUACUAGGAGAGUAAUGAAAAAAAUAAAUCACAUGGCGAAAGCUUAGAUCUCAUUUUUACUGGAACACUGGCUUAUAUGAUCAACUUCAAGAUCUUUCUGGUAAUUAUGAAAUUAUUAACUAUUAAACGUGGUUUUGUUCUAAUAAUUGCCCUUGAAGAACUUGGUACAGUUAUCGGAAACAGCAUGGAUACAAUGGAAAUGCUAAGAUAUGAACAAUGCUCAGUCAGAUGGCUUAUUUCAGGAACCAAGACUGAAUGACCUCUGAUCAGUACCUGGGGAUCAGACUUUACUGUAGGUGUCCUUUUUUUCCUAGCUUAGGAAUUAGGAAAUCCAAAUUUGAACAAAUUCUUCCUGGAAUGCACUCUUAAGUUCAAGUGAGAGCAAUAGUCAUGCAGGCACUGAGGUUACUAAUAGGUGCCUUCAAGAUGGAUAAAGAAUCACAUUCCUGAAACAUUAUUUGAAGAAAAAAAAGGUAUCCCUUCAGAAGCUGAAUGCUAUUAAAACAAAAAAAUGCAUGUUUUUCAACUAACUGCUAAUAUUCUCUAUUUAAAUACAGUUUUACAUUCUGUAGGAUACAAUUAUUAAUACUGUAAUUAAAAAGAGAAGUGAACAGUCUAGCUGAGGCCUGUUUUUAUGCAGGAGGUUAGUAGUGUAAUGAAAAAUAAGCACACCUCACUUAAUUACGGCAAUAAAAUGCUUUCUUCUGCUUAGCCGACAGCAAUCAGAUGCAUACAACAAAACACAAUUAUGCAGAAACCGCAGAAGUCACCAUACUGUGCAGUAACAUCACUGUGAAAUACUCUGACUUCCUUUUUGAAGGAAUGGAAAAGCUGCAGCAAAUAACUGGGCUGUACUGAGUCUGUCUGCUUCAGCAAUGGAUGCUGUUCCUCUAAGGUACGCUGUAGAAGAUGCUCAUUUUUGUGAGAACAAGCUGAGGUACAUAAGCCAUUAUCAGCUAACAGAAAACCACUGACCUUUGGAUAAAUCCUUAUAGCCCAGAGGGAACACUGACAAUCCAGCCAUGCCAUCAGCUAGGCACUGGCCUGAUCCUGUGCAACUGCACCAAGUCUUGGUAAGAAACUGACAACGUCUCUUAAGCAUGCAGAAUGCCCAAGAGAGACUGCAUUCCCUGAAAUUCCAACACAAAAGGAAUUUAAAAUUAUACUGAUUAUUUCUGUAGUGAGAAACCUUCUAGAAAACAUGCAUUAUUUAAUAACUUACAUUGAAAACCAUAAGCUCUUUAUUUCUUGUAUUCACUAUUAACAUGAUUGCCUGUUUGUGAUCAGUUAAGAACACAAUAUUAUUUUCACAACACACAAUAAUUACUGUACAAUCAGAGACAUGGGCCAUAGCUGGGGAAGAAAUCUGCACCACGUCCUUACAUACAUUACAUUUUAAUACUGGCUCCUAAGUUCAUUCCCAGGCUAAAAAAGCUAAAUUCAUAGAAGUGAAGUGCUGUCUCGAGUACAUUCUUGCACUAAGUCAGCACUGUCCUCUUCCAGCUAAUUUCACUAAUGUGGAAUAACACGUUCUGACUUCAAAAGCCGAUCCUCUGCACACGAGGCACGCAGGACCAAGUGGGAACAGCCUGGAGUACUGCAGUGCACAGCCCUGCUCCAAAUCAUUUUUGUCCACAGCAUCCCUUUCUUUUGCUCCCCUGGUUACUACUCCCUCUGUUCUGGAGCUCAUUUGUCUCCUCCUCUCCUCACUGGAUCAAAUCCUCUUGUCACCAUCUAUUGUGCUGCCCGCCCACUUCCAUCACUGUCAUCUCGCACCGCUCCCUGACGCAUUUGUUAAAUAUAAGUUUAAUUAGAAAGCGUUCAUUGGAAACAAAUGAAAAAGCCUAAAAUUAGAAUUGGACAGAGAUUGUCUGAGAUUUAAAAAGUAAUACUAUUACAUGAUAUGCCUUUAUUGCUAAGCAAUAUCUUACUUUUAUGCACUGAUGAUGAAAUUAAUCCAUGCAGGGGCUGGCACGUACCACCUUCAAUUUGAGAACCACAUAACUACUUUCAGCUGAGCUCCACAGUAAGUAUGGACCAAAGUAAGUAAGAAAUACUAUUUUGUUACGAAGCAAGAAUUGUGGGAAUGCAUUAAAACAACACCCAUUCAGCCUGUUACUAAAGACACUGUAACUACACCUGAGUUAAAGAAGGGCUUUACUUAUAGACAGACAUGACUUCAGGACCAGUAUAUUGUAACAGUUGUCAAACGUUCCUAGAAACUAGGAGAGAUGCCUUUUUUCCAUAGUAAAUCUGAAGAAAAAUAAAUUCACUAAUUCACCGUGUACCAAAAUUAGCAUAUUUAUUUUAUCCUAAUUGUGAAAGAUUCCAACAGAAUAAUUGUACCAACCACUAACAGGAGCCAAAAUCACCAUCCCCAACUUCCGUUCAUGAUAUACAUGCUUCAUGGGAUAAGAUGACAGAUUCAGUACGAGAUGUAUAUUUUGUACCUCAUUUGGGUCUCCUUCAUAAGCACCAAGCAAUUAUGUUUUGCUAUUGCAAAUUCUCAAAAUACACUUCUGAAAUCUUCCUAUUCCACUCUUGGCAAUCAACUUCUCCCGUGCCUCUUCCCAUUUCAGUUUUCACAUUUGUGCACCACAUUCACCAUGUAUGUCUAAGUAACUCUGCUAGCCCUCAGCUUCUCACUCCUACCUACUGAAAAGAAGUGAAAAAAAUGUGCCAACUGAAGGAACUGACAGAGCAGCACAUUGCCCCUCCUAUGCAAGAUGAGCACUGAUGGCUUCAGCAUGCAUUGACAUUCUAAGCAAAGGAAAUUAGCAUUAAUCCACUCUCAGGGUGCUCCUAAUUGUAUAGCCAUGGAAAAUUAACUCAGCAUUAACUGCACAAACAGCUUUGGUUGUGCUUCCUGCUGAAAUGGUUACCUAAUUUUUUGGUACCUGAAAUGAGGAGAUAGUUACUCCCUGAUGGUGUGCAGAUACGUGCACCCCAACAGACAUCUGGGCACCCUCCUCUCCUGACAACCAGCAUCCUGGGCUGACCUGUGCUGGCGGGUCAAAAACAGCCUGGAGUUUGAGGCACUAUCUGGAAUUGAGAACAUAUGGGUUCAAUUCCUGUCUCUGACUUCUUUGAUUGGGAGCAAUUUGCAUGCAACAAAACUGAGAAGUAUUUCUGUUUUCUUCUCCCUCAUGUCAAGGACGUUGUACUGUAAUUAAUUGUCAGUACAUGUAAAAAAAGUCUAAUCAUUAUGUCAACAGAAAUUAAGAUGAGGGAACUUAGGAAGUACCUACCAUCCGGCACAGUUGUUGGUUCUACAGAGUUUUGACUGUUGUUUCCACAGUUACUGAGAAAAAGUAUGGGAAGAGGCACCAAGUCAUUUAAUUUUUUCAUGGCUGGGUCACAGUAUGAACUGAACACGUGCAAAGACUUCUAAAGAUUUGUUCCUUAAUGAAGUCUUCUUAUCAGAGAUGCUGGAAAUUUACUUAACAAGUCUGUCCUAAUCUUGUUAGAGCAUCUCCAUUUUAUGGUAUAAUAAUAUCACUUACUUGUUUUUCAUUAUUAAAAUGUUUUGAUUAGAAAGUCAGUACAGACAGUGCCUAUUCAAAAGCUGAUUCAUCUUUUCUCAUUAAAGGUAAGUGAAUGGAAAAGGAAUAAAUUGCUUUUCUAGCGGCAGCAACAGAGUUCUAAAAUCUAGGUCACAUUAAAGAACUCUUAAAUAGGGUUUACACGUUGACUUGUCUUUCUCAUUGCUGUGAAACACUGGGAAUAAAAUACAUGUUCAAUCACCAGUAAAUUAGCUAGCAAUUUGUUCACAUACUAUCCCUUCAUGAUACUUUAAAUAGUUUUUCUUGUAAUGUGAUCAGACGAUGAAAUUAUUCUGUCCUUCUAAGUAUCACCUCUUAUGUAGCUUCCCAGCUUGUACAUAACUGCAAUUUGCAAUGUUCUGAUUCUUGGACAUGAAUUUAAACCUGGAAAGAGGAACACGUGUACCAGCCUAAGAGCUUUUGUAUGCUGUAUCUUAAAGCAAACAAACUGAUUAGUCCAUUUUAUUUCCCAUAGGAAGGUCUCAAUUCCUAUAGCAUAAUGCAAUGUUGACGAACUGGAAAGAAUCCAGAGAAACAAAAGAAUGAUAAAACAGCAAGAACAGCAAAAAAUGAGCAAACUGGUAUUAGGGGCUUAUUUUGGGAACGGAAAAUUCAAUGUGAAAUAAUAUCUUCAAAUAUAUUAAAAGGUACCACAAAGAAGAACGUACUAGGAUGUUUUCAAUAACCACUGGGAUGAAGAAAAGCAGCAAUGGACUUAAACCACAAUGAGGAUUUAGGCCAAAGGAAAAGCCUCCUAAUGGCAAAGAUAAUUAAGCAUGGGAAUCGUUUGUCUAGAAAAGCCAGAAAGCAGAAUAUGUUUGACAAACACCUCUGGAUUCAUGUAGGUGUAAUUGCUGAAGGCAGGCAGGUGCUCUACCUAAUUGCUGGAGAUUCUUUCUAGCCAUGUGUUUUCAGAUUCAUUGGUACUGUUCCAAGUACUUGUCUAGUUUUGGAAGCGUCUGUGUGAUUUACAUUACAUAUACAUAUUUCUUCUGCUUCCCAUUCACAAGGCAUUUUUAUACCUCAAAUUCACAGAAGUAAUGCAUGUGCAUUACGUUAUGUACCACACAAGUCUUCACUUGUCUCCUUCCAAGUAUUUACUGUAAAAUCAAAUCCAUCCUGGCCAAAGAAACAGACUUUAUGGCUUUUUUUAGGUUGCAAGAUAGCACCUCAACACACACCCCAUCAAUCACAUUAAAACUGAACAGAAAACCCUAAAGCAAAACUGAGAGCUUUUGCUGUCUGCUGCCUUUCUAGUCAACCAUUAAACCCCAACGUGGCCUCACUAGGCUUUUUUAUUUAUUUAACACUAUAGACACGGCUUUUAAGUUCAGGUAUUUCCAUAAUGAGCACUGUUUUCUAUCAAGAAGAGCAGGACACCAGAAUACCAGUGCUGCUAAUUAACAAAUGUAACCUCUACACCUUCAAAGCACACAGCAUGGAUUUUAAGAUUACUACUUUUGCUAGUCAAAAACAAUGGGAGCUGUAUAGAUGCUUUAAGGACAUAUGUUGUAUAAUUUAAUAGGUCUCCUCAUUUCUGAUUUGAGUAAGUCACUGAAAUAUUUAUGGCCUUACCAGAACAGUGAAUGUACAGUUAUCUCUUCAGUUGUUAUUAUGCUGCUCUUUCUCAAGCAGCUCUUUCAUUCAGGAAGAAAAGGUACAUUCCGAGUUUAUUAGCUGGAACUGUAUUAAAGCAAUGUUGUCCUCCCAAUGCAGAAGUGUCCCUAGAAGGACACCUCACAGGGAAUUAUUUUCUUGCUCUGACACUGAAAAAAUAAAAACAUAGCAGCAGGAGCAAGUGCCAGCAAUCUGAAAAUAUUUGCAGGGUCAAUGGAAGGGAAGAAUUUUGAUACUUGGGCUCUGCAAAUGCAUCUUUAAUACCACUACGCUAAUUACUAAGAGUCAAGUUAGCCACAGUGUGCCUGUCUCACAAUUACAGCUAGAUACCAAUGCACAUAAAUCAAAAAGGCAGGGGGAAACACCCAGUGCUUACCUAUUAACUUCUCCACAACUUUCCCAAUCAGCUAAGCCAAACAGCUGUACAAAAUUACACCACUGCCAUAUCCUUAAUUUUAAGAACAAAACUAAUACAGUAUAUGGCAUUAAUUUGACUGUAAUAAAUAUACUGAGGCUGUAAUGUGUAAUUAAAAAGAACAUGAAUAUUUAGCAGUAUUAACUAUUCUCAAAUUAGCAACUGCUGUUUGAGAAGACUUGCUACUUUUCCUUGUAGCUCUGCCACAUAACUGUGUCAAAGGAAUGAGAAGGGACAACUAACAGCUUGCUAAACAUGGAGCUGUGUUGGCAACUUACCAUAAUGUAGUUCAAAAAGUAAACAGAAGAAAUUGAGGGAUUCCAUAUUUUAGCUGUUAAUACCUGAGAUGUAAGACUUCAUCUGUGGUCCAGAAAGUAACAGCAACUUCACUACCAAAAGAACAAACACCCAUGGCUGCUGAUCACCAGCUCUUCCCAUUGCCUUCUUUUUAUGUGCAAUCAGCAUACAAGGAAAAUGAACGCAAAAAGUGGGCAACUGAACCCCUGCCUGUAGGAUCUUCAUAAGUGAAUGCAUAAUGCCUACAGCGGUACCUGGGGAGAUCAAAACCAGGGCAGCAGGAUUUUUGAAGAUAUGUCUUUGGAGAUACUUCUAGUGAACUUCCAAUGACGGCCAGAUCCCAGGCAGGAAAAGAGAUUAAAGGAAAAUGGUGUCAAGAAAUAGCUCAAGAUAUGCUGCUUUAGUGCCUGUGAUCAGAGAAGCAGGGUUCUGAGCACGUAGCAGAUACUGAUGGCUAGGAUUAUAUCAACAAGGGCAAGACUGUAUUUUUUAAUAGAAAAGUCAGAGGCAGGGUGAGGAAAUUAGCAGUCAGAAUACUUGAAUGCUGUGUUAUUCUGCUGAACGUUUCAAAAUGCUCACUGCCUGCUGCUGUAUGAAGAGAGAAGUAUGUUCCAGAGCUAAUCAGAUUUUUGCCAUUAUCAGUAGCAAGUAUAUUUCUUUUUAAAUUUUGUAAUAGGAAAGAAGUUGCUUUCUCCAGUUUUUUCUUUACCAUAUGGACUACUAAGUGCAGCAGCAGCUACUUUUAAAUGUUACGGUUCCUUUGCUGAGGCAUUAUGAUCCUUUGUAAGAUGAAAGUAAUUUUCUUUGUGUCUUAAGGAGAUGCUAUUCUGCAAAGCAGAAAGGCCUCCCAAGACUUACUGCCUAAAAAUAGCUAACAGCCUUUCAGGAAGAUGAAGAACGAAUCUUUCAAGAGACGUGCUUGAUUAUUCUGUUUAUUACUCUGAUUUGCAUUUCUGGAACUGGAGGAUCCUGUAGUAGUAAGCACUGUAAAACAAAGGGGUUUGGUUUUGUUUGUUUUAUACAGAAUCCUGGCUUAAAUCACCAAACUGACAUCACGUAGCUGUCAUUCAGCCUACCAAGCUGAAAACUGCUCUGCAGCAUCAUUACAGACAAAGCAAUGUGUACUUGGAGAGUUUCAAGAAUACACUGAACUUCUUUUAAACCUCUUCCCCCAGGCAAAAUGUGAAGCUAUUGUGCAACAGAGGUCACUCUGUGCAGCUAGCUCAUGCAUAUGCCAUUUUGUUCUGGAUGUCAAGGAGGAUUUUUAACAAGGAAAUCAGUUUCCAUUUAGAAGAACACUCUACACCUAGACGUGUUUCACAUCUACUAUAAAUAAAGUAAAAAUUAAAGGGUAUAAUGAUGAAUGUCCAGCAGUAGAUUUUUAUCCACUUAGCAAUCUCAGAAGUAUUCAAUCCAGUUCUAUAAGAACUCAAUAACAAAUUUUAAUUUGGAGGCACUUGUCUGGAUAAAAAGGAAGUCUUCUAAGUAGUGCCUACAGUCCUUUUUUCUUUAAUGUAUGAUAUUUAUGAAAUGCUACAUACAUGAGAGCCCUUUUUAGGACAGCACAUCUGCAAGAAAUCAGAAGAUCACACAGAGAAUGUGCUGUGAGAAUCUGGCCUAGAAGGCUGCAGACAGAAUGCCAGUUCCUGUGCUGUAACUAUUUGUCUUCUUUUUUCUUUUGUUUGAGAGAGGAAAGCCUUAAAGCUUUAAUCUCACACACAAGCUCAUCACAUCCCAAGUCUAUCUGUAAUGCUCUCCAAAUGAGAAUGAACUCGGAAGGAUGAUGCUCAAUCUUUAAAUCCUUCUCUGCAGAGCUGUUUUCAACUUACAGGUUCAUACAAGGGAUCCUUGCUGUGGCUCUAGAACUUUCUGACGUGUCCUACCUGUUAUGCUUGACAACCACACGGUAGAAUUCAAUUGCAUUUAGGACUAAAAGUUUUCCUUGCAUGAUUUCCUGUGUAGUGCGAUAGAAACAACUUAAUGUGACAGCACACUUCCAUUGUCACUGGUGGAAAACAAAUUCCCCUCCCUCCUGGCCACUGUUAUUAACUCCAAAGCAAAGAGCAUGUGCAAAAGGCAAAGGAAAAAGAACAAAUGUAAAAACUGGAUCCGCUGCUACCAAACUGCCAGCCCACCAAAACAACACACAUGCUAACAGAAAUAACACAAGGAAAUGCCCCGUGCAUUUUCCUAGAAGAAUAUUUAAAGAUUCCAAAAAACUCCGUGACUUCAUUAUCAUUCAAAUAUCACUGUUACAAAGUCUUAUUUACUUUUUUGUUCUUUGUUUACACUGUUUAUUUCUGAAGAAGUCACACUGUUACAUGACUCAGGGAAUUAGCAAACACAUUCAAUUUACUUAAAUAGGGUAAUUACUACUACACUCAGCUGACAUUAAUAGCCUUUAUGCAAUGAACUGCCCUGUGAUGUGUGCUUAAAAUAAAGGAAAAUAUGCAUGUAUAUUUUAAGAGCAUUAAGAAGGAAGAACACUUGUAACUCCAGACAUAUAAAAGCUUUUCAUCUUCUACUUUCUGUAUUUUUCUGAAGUACUGUUUGAAUCUUAAGCUACCAGAAUGAAGGCAGCUCUGUAGUCUCAGAAAUGAAAAUGAAAUGAAAAAAUAAUACAGUGUAUAAAUUCUUCUGGGUGAGACAGACCACAAAAAAGCCACCAAAACAACCAUGAGAGAACAAUGCACUUGAAGGAGUUAAUGUUAUGGUAAGGUUAGGGCUGGAAAUACUGACAGGAUAGGAGCAGCAGCCCCUAGCCUGCUUUGGUAGGUCUUCUGUCAUUCUGAAAGACAGUGCAUUCUGGUAACCAUACCCACACCACACUCUGAACACAGUGGGAACAGAACCCAUACUCAGGAGCCUUUUUCCACACUUGGGAAAAAACAAACAAGGCGACUGCUGAAACUCAUCAUGCUCAAUUACUGAGCAAGAUGCUAAAGCUCCAGCAUUUAAUGAAAGAAAUGAAGUGCUUAUGUGCAUGUAUACAAGUGUACACACACACAGGCAUGCA